GCCCCGGUGGCGCAGUGGUUAAGCGCUUGGCUGCUAACCAAAAGGUUGGCGGUUCAAACUCACCCAGUGGCU
rnacentral:tRNA from 1 species